rnacentral:rRNA from 1 species
GUAGGUGGCAAGCGUUGUCCGGAUUUACUGGGCGUAAAGAGCGCGCAGGCGGUCAUUCAAGUCGAGUGUGAAAGCCCCCGGCUCAACUGGGGAGGGUCACUCGAUACUGUUUGACUCGAAGGCGGGAGAGGGAAGUGGAAUUCCCGGUGUAGUGGUGAAAUGCGUAGAUAUCGGGAGGAACACCAGUGGCGAAGGCGACUUCCUGGCCCGUUCUUGACGCUGAGGCGCGAAAGCUAGGGGAGCAAACGGGAUUAGAUACCCCGGUAGUCCUAGCCGUAAACGAUGGACACUAGGUGUUGGUGGUAUCAACCCCGCCAGUGCCGUAGCUAACGCAUUAAGUGUCCCGCCUGGGGAGUACGGCC